CAUUCAGGAACAACCGGGGAGCAGUUUGAGGAGCAUCUGUAUCUGCUUAGAAAGUGUCUUGAGCAGAGUUCUCCACUGCUUCCCUUAGGAUUUCAGGCUUCCUCGGCGGUCUGACCUUCAGUGAUCUCCAAAGUGGAUAUCUUAAGCUUCACGGAGAUCAUUUCCAUCUAUUCCAGGACCCAGGGGCAAAGGAUGCAUGUGCAUAUGUGUGCCUGUGUGCGUUGCAGAGAGCUCGGGAACAAACAGGACACACCCAUGAUUUAGGACUGUGUGAGAGAACAUAUUUCCAAAGUUUCAAUCCUUCCAUGUCUGUGGUACUUAGCUUAUGGUCACCCUAAGAACUCAUCAUGGAACACAGGACUUCAGCUAUGUAGGUGGGUGAAUCUAACAAUGUCACGGCUGAUGAUGGUUUCACCCACAUGGCUGAGGAGAGCAUGUUCCUCUAGGGAACAUGUCCACCAUCGAUUGUCCUUGCCAUGGCCGGCCAUCUAAAGGAGAAUUGUCAAACGAUUAAUAAUACCAGUCCACAUUUACUCAGCACUAAGUUAGUCCAGUUCUUGUCAGAACUUGAUGUCUGUCAGCUGACUUCAUCCUACAGCUACCUGUGUGAGAUCGUCAACUGCCAGCUUUCACAACAUCCUGUUCCAGAUCCUUGGAGUAGCCUAGAAGUCUCUAGAACCACCUAGAAAAACCAGAGCGGAAGUAAUGAUCACCAGAACCUGGUCCAUCCCUGCCACCCCAUAAAAUGCCUGUUACCUCCCUGUUUGGGGCUCAGCUUGAUCACUUUCUCCCUCAGGGCUGUCCCCCGUCUCCUGCAGGUCAGACCCAGCAAUUAAAGCUCUGCCUGUGUUCCGGUU